GAGAUACUAAGGGAAGGCAUUUAUUUAAAGUACAGAGGAAAGUCGGGGAGGGGAGGACGGCAGGAAGGGGCAGGAGAGAGGAGGCUAUUUUUUUAUACAAUAUUAAGGGUGGGACACAGCCGGUUGAAUAAGACCUUAAAUGUGAUAGGAAGGUAUUCAACAGGAAAAUGUGAUUAUUGCCAGGAAACAGAGAGCAUGGAGCAUGUCUUGCUACAAUGUGGGUCAGAGGGAAAGAGAGAGGGAAUCAAAGGGAAGGAGAGAGGGAAUCAGAUGGAAAGAGAGAGGGAAUCAGAGGGAAAGAGAGAGGGAAUCAGAGGGAAAGAGAGAGGGAAUCAGAGGGAAAGAGAUAGGGAAUCAGAGGGAAAGAGAGAGGCUGAGAUGUAGUGUGAAGGAAAAGGGAUACAGAAAAUUAGUUUAAAUAGUAUAUUGAGUAGAACGUCAUUAGAUUUAGUCUAAAAUAUUUGGUUAUCUAUUUAGUUUCUCCCUGACUCUGCCACACACUCCAGUACAGUAGGUGACGGUAAUGCAUCAUCAUAAGGUUGGAUGCCAAUCGCUGAUAAACCACAUCAAAGAAGAUAAUAUUUUGCCACCAGAUGGCACUGUUUUAAAAGCAACCAUCUGGUCCACUCAGUCAAUUCAAUUCAUUCGACUUUAUUGACAUGGCAAGUUCAUUAUUACAUUACAUUGUCAAAGUAUACAUAUCGAAAAAUAAAAUAAAACUAUAUAUUUAUAAUAUAUAUAUAUAUAUAUAUAUAUAUAUAUAUAUAUAUUUAUAUAUAAAUAAAUGGUGGGAUCAACAGCAAUAAUAAUGGUAGUAGUGGACAUGGGAUUACCAUUAACAACAACUACAACAACAAUAUUCAUGAGAACAAUAAUAUAUUAAAGCAAUGGUAGUAGCCCCGUGUCAACAUGACUGAGAUAUAUGACAUGACGUGGUAUGAAAGACAAAACAAAACAAGAGGGGAAAUAUUAUCGACAUUACUUUGCACUUUUCACUGGCUGUCCCUCAGGUUGUGGCAGGAGGACACAUAUUUGUCUGCCAAAACUGCACAUUUAGGCUUUUCACCCAAUAAAUAUUAGAUUUUU
ensembl:lncRNA